rnacentral:lncRNA from 1 species
GUAGAUGAUGUUUGAAUAUUAUAAAGAAGAAAAGCUAAGAAAAAUAUUGCAAAACGCACGUUUUUUUUCUACAAUGUUUACUAUCCAUUUCUUGAUGCUACUCCAUGCUUUCUUGACCCAUUAUGAUUUGGGCCUAAUUAUAUGGAUCAAGGGAUAUUGGGUUUUGAGAAGUAGAAGAAGGAAAGUUUAGGCCUAGAGGAGCAAGGCAUGGGGGGUAUCAAAGCGGUUGGUGAGAAUAAAGAAAAGGAAGUGUACGGAGUGUGGAGGGAUAGUGGUGUAGAAAGAUGUUAA